rnacentral:rRNA from 1 species
UAUUAGUCAAUGCUCGCAAGAGUGAACUAGCUAACUGAAAUCAUAUUUGUGGCAAAUGUGAUGUCGUAAGGGAAAAUAAUGAUAUUACCUUACUAAUAGUGUCGUCUAAAACUGGUGCCAGAAGACUCGGUAAGGCCAGAGACACAAAUGUUAAUCGUCUUAAUCAGGCGUAAAGGGUUUGUAGGCUGCUUUGAAAGUAUUUAUUUUACUUAGCAAUUUUUUUUUUAAAUAAGAAAUGUAAAAUUUUAUGAAUUAAAGCUAGAAUCAAAUAGAGGAUAUUUACGAAAUAAUGCUUGGUCGAGGGCUGAUAUCCGAAGACAUCAAGUGGAGUACCAAUGGCGUAAGCAUUUAUCCAUUAAUGAUUGACGCUGAGAAACGAAGGUGAGGAUAGGAAAUAGGAUUAGAUACCCAGAUACCCCUCUCUGUCAACGAUGAAUGGUAGUUUGUUAGUCUUAAGGACUAGUGACGAAGUUAACACGUUAACCAUUCCGCCUUGUGAGUACGACUGCAAAGUUGAAAACAAAAAAAUUAGUCGGUCUCGGAGCAAACGAAGUGAAGUAUGUUAUUUAAUUC